rnacentral:misc_RNA from 1 species
CUUGUUUGAGCGGACGGCGUUGUUCCGUGUGUAUGGCGCAUGUCCAUGUUUGUGACGUCGUCUGUGUAUUGUUCCCCGGUCCCCGUAUCGCCCGAGCGUUUUUCUCGUCUACCGCCGACUACACGUAAAGUAGCUGAUUUUGUUGUUUGUGAGUUAUUUUUUAUCAAGAUCCGUUUACAUUGUGCAAGUUUGGACGCCACAUCGUUUCCUUGACGAAAUCGUCUGUUGCAUACAUUGGCCGCGCAUUAGUUGUAUCCGCCAGCAAAAGCGUGCGACGGUUGUUCGCAAAAACUCGAGGCUUGGACGCUGUGCGAUUGCUUCAGUCGGUACCUGGUUACCGUACUGUCUCCCGUUUACCGUGUAUAUCCAUUUGUACGACAGAUUAUUAGAAGUCUUGAAUAUUUGACAUAAUGGGGAAAACAAAAUUAUCAAAAGUGAAGAGUAUCACAAAAAGCAAGAACAAAUCUCAUAAGCAGAAAGUAAAAUCUCACAAGAAAAACAAAAGUAUUUCUAAAAAUAAACAUCGAACUAAACUGCGUUCAGAGAGUCAAGACAAAUUACAAAAACCUGAAGCUCCUCUCACAAACUAUUUGGCUUACAAGUCAAACUAUAUCGCUGUUCGGUAUAUAUUUGAGUGUGGUAUAAAACUUGGUCUAAAACAUAUUACUAUAUGCUCAGCAGCAGUUUACUUCCAUAAGUUUUAUGAAAAUAUUGAUGAAAAUCCAUAUGACAAUUAUUCUAUAGCUAGUGCAACAUUAUACUUGGCUAGUAAAGUACAUGAUGAGACUGUCAAACUUCGAGAUUUGAUAAAUGUGACAUAUCACACAUUACACAGAGAUGCGGCUCCAAUACGAUUAGCUGAAGAUUAUUGGAACUUCCGCGAUUCUAUUGUGCAUGCUGAAAUGUUAACAAUGAGAUUAUUACAGUUUGAUACUACAUUUGAUCAUCCGCACAAUUAUUUUCUACACUACGUUCAGACUGUUCGACCAGUGUUCUAUUCAAAACAUGGCAAGGACAUCAUUGUAUUUAAAAAAGCAUAUGACUUUUUACAUGAUUUUUAUCAUAGCAGUGAUAUACUCAAAUAUAAACCUCAGCAUAUUGCUAUUGCUUGUAUGGAAUUAGCAAUCAAAGUGUACGGCAUUCCAUCGCAGAUAAUUGAUUAUGAAGUACAGCCUUGGUAUCAGCAAUUUUUUGCACAAAAUCGUUCUAUUAUAUUGUCUGCAAAAUAUCUACAAUAUGUGAUCAAAAAUUAAAAGUGUGAAAGAUCAUUGGAAUUUGUGAACAAUUAGUUGAUGUAUAUUUUAGCUGAUUUUUAAAAGGAUACCAAUCAUUUGAAGCGUUGAUUGAAGAUUUGGACAAGGAUACACUUUGGAACAUUAUGGCAGCGAUCAUGGACACAUACGAUCUCGAA